rnacentral:lncRNA from 1 species
CAUUUGGAAUGGCUUUUGUGUUCUCAGGAAAAGUCUGAGUUUCAAAAACCACCCCACAUAAAAGCCACUUGUCAGCAGCAAAAUAAUGUUCUACACUUCUGUUGCACAGAAACUACAGAGAUCACGAUGGCUGAUCAAAGACUUCAGUGAGCGUCUAUUUCUGAUUACCCCAACCACAAACAGAUGGAGACCAUCAGCUCAUUCACUCCGUGUCAUGUACCUCACCGCAGUCACACUGAGGAGAGCCACCGGGGCAAGUUUUGAUGGCCGAGUGUUGAUCAAAUCCCACCAUCUACUGGGACUCCGCGGAACUACAGCGCUGCUUUAGAGCGUGCUCUGAAGAAUGCUGGAUGCCCCACUUGCUCUGCAGCUCACCAGACAGCUACUGCCAAGUGCUAUUUAGACACUGCAGUUAUUGGACUAGUAAAGUUUUGAUCUGACCUGGAACACACACGUUUAUUUUCCUUUGUGUUAUCUUGCACAGCAAGCAAUAGUGGAAUACCAAAUACUAGUAGUUGUAGUGCAAACGUUUGAACAUAAAUUUCCCUCUGUCCAUAUGAGACCACAAACACGACACCCCUACACCUCUUAGCCACAGAUACCAUGGUCCUUACAAUGUGCCAGAGGCAUUCAAUGCAGUUUUAAACCUGGAAGUAUCAUGAGAAAGACUCUGGAACGUAAAGAGUGAUAGCUACAGCACGGUAAGGGUGAUGAACUCACAGGGAGACUUCCCACUCCUUCUAAAGCAUGCACUACAACCAGUGUGAGCAAAAUUUAAAAACUGGCUUAGUUGAAUACACGCAUUAUCAUUUGAGAAAUCAAUACAUACUGAAGCAUUUACUGAUUUGCAGCUCUUCUAUAAUUGCAGAAUAGACUCUCAGGUGUGAUUGGCUUGUUGCUAAAUUUCCCUCAUGGGAUGCUAGUGAUAUCUCAAACAGUUGUGCCAUGGAAGACACUCUGAUCCCAUUGAAGUCAAAGUCAAAUAUUCCCAUUGACUUAGCAGAGGAUGUUAUUUGUUGUUAUGAAGCAGGAAGCAGAGUAGGACAGACACUCACUCUGUCUUGCAUUCCAAGUGGGAAGCUCUUGGAUAUAGCCGUGGUUUCAUUCUCCAUUCUCUAGUCAGUGUUUAUCUAAUGACACAUUAGGAGAGAUCGUCACUGUUUGCUUGAGCCCUGGGUCAGUCCCUGCAGAGGGCACAAACCAGUCCUUUUCGCUGGGUGGGAUGCUGUCUUCUCCAGACACAUCUGAGCUCGCUGCUGUUGCACUACCUAACACUGAGGAUGCAGCUCCAAAACAGAACCAAGAGUCAGUGUAGGUACAGCAUAUUU